ACGGAGCUUGCUCUGGUGGCGAGCGGCGAACGGGUGAGUAAUAUAUCGGAACGUACCCUGGAGUGGGGGAUAACGUAGCGAAAGUUACGCUAAUACCGCAUACGAUCUAAGGAUGAAAGUGGGGGAUCGCAAGACCUCAUGCUCGUGGAGCGGCCGAUAUCUGAUUAGCUAGUUGGUAGGGUAAAAGCCUACCAAGGCAUCGAUCAGUAGCUGGUCUGAGAGGACGACCAGCCACACUGGAACUGAGACACGGUCCAGACUCC
rnacentral:rRNA from 1 species